rnacentral:lncRNA from 1 species
UGUGGAUAUACAUAUAUAUUUGACAGCUCAUGAGAUCCUAAACUUUCUUUUGUUAAUAGUAACCAUACGUGCAGGAACAUGCAAGUAAUUUAUUUCAAGAGCAAACCGAUUCCAUCUGAGCUCUGAUACUUGCUGCUGUGGAUGCCGAAGUGCAGACAUCGUUUGACUAAGCCUCAAGAGGGCUCCCAGCUUCCUUCCAGCGUCCUUGGAUGAGACAGAGACAGCAACUUGGCGGAGAGAUAGGAUGAUCACAGCUGUACGGCUGCUCAAGAAGCAUUGCUUUCCAGCAUGAAAGGCGUAGUGUUGAACUGCUAAACUCUUCUCUAUUCCUACGCACCUGUGUCUAUGGGAGACGCAGGUACCUUUGCAGAUCUUGGCCCGCAUCAUUGGAGCAAAUGGGAUGAAGAGGGAGUGCAGGGAAGAGGGGAAGAAGGGGCAGUUGAGAAAGAAGAGCUUUGGAUGGUUCUAAUGCCAUCUAACAACACUGGGGCCUUGCUGAGAAUGUAUUGUAUCUCCCAGAAGACGCUGUUUAACUUACCUUUGGAAAGCACAGUGAAAGGAGUUUCAAGCAUCUCCCAGGACCGUCAAUGCUGUUGCAAUAAUAUAUUAAAUAAACAACGUCACUAUUGUUUGCAAAGGAAACAGAGUUCCAGCAGCAUUGUCUGGGGCACAGACAUACUUUCUUCACAGACUCCUCCAGCAGCGGCUGUUCUGCUCCAGCAGGGUGUCUGCAAUUGGCAGGUUGAUCUGCACAUCUGGGAUGACUAGUGACAGAAUAAGGUGGGUGAUGAGCUUAGUUUAACUGUAAAAUGGUUAUCUGGAUGGAGCAGAAGAAUUCUA